rnacentral:sRNA from 1 species
AGGAAGAAGAAACAAAAA